UACGAAGGGGGCGAGCGUUGUUCGGAUUUACUGGGCGUAAAGGGCGCGUAGGCGGCCAUCUUUGUCAGGCGUGAAAGCCCCGGGCUCAACCUGGGAACUGCGUCUGGGACGGGGUGGCUAGAGAUCGGGAGAGGAGCGUGGAAUUCCCAGUGUAGAGGUGAAAUUCGUAGAUAUCUGGAGGAACACCGGUGGCGAAGGCGGCGUUCUGGACUGCAACUGACACUGAAAAACGAAAGCCAGGGGAGCAAACGGG
rnacentral:rRNA from 1 species